rnacentral:snoRNA from 12 species
UGUGUGUUGGAGGAUGAAAAUAUGGAGUGAUCCAUCGGCUGAGUGUCUUAUCACAAUGCUGAAACUCAACUUGCUGACAGCACACG